rnacentral:rRNA from 1 species
GACGAACGCUGGCGGCGUGCCUAAUACAUGCAAGUCGAGCGCUGACGGAUGGUACUUGUACCCACAGGGUGAGCAGCGAACGGGUGAGUAACGCGUGGGGCAUCUUCCUUUGUGCGGGGGACGACAUUUGGAAACGAAUGCUAAUACCGCAUAAAAACUUUAACCACAAGAUUUAAGUUUGAAUGAUGCAAUUGCAUCACUCAAAGAUGAUCCCGCGUUGUAUUAGCUAGUUGGUGAGGUAAAGGCUCACCAAGGCGAUGAUACAUAGCCGACCUGAGAGGGUGAUCGGCCACACUGGAACUGAGACACGGCCCAAACUCCUACGGGAGGCAGCAGUAGGGAAUAUUCGGCAAUGGACGAAAGUCUGAUCCAGCAACGCCGCGUGAGUGAAGAAGGUCUUCGGAUCGUAAAACUCUUUUGGUAGAGAAGAACGGCAGUGAGUUUGUAAAGCGCUGCUAGGACGGGACACAAAGCAGAAAGAGAGGGCAAAUUCGUU